UACACUCCUACGGGAGGCAGCAGUGGGGAAUUUUGGACAAUGGGCGAAAGCCUGAUCCAGCCAUGCCGCGUGCAGGAUGAAGGCCUUCGGGUUGUAAACUGCUUUUGUACGGAACGAAACGGCCUUUUCUAAUAAAGAGGGCUAAUGACGGUACCGUAAGAAUAAGCACCGGCUAACUACGUGCCAGCAGCCGCGGUAAUACGUAGGGUGCAAGCGUUAAUCGGAAUUACUGGGCGUAAAGCGUGCGCAGGCGGUUAUGUAAGACAGUUGUGAAAUCCCCGGGCUCAACCUGGGAACUGCAUCUGUGACUGCAUAGCUAGAGUACGGUAGAGGGGGAUGGAAUUCCGCGUGUAGCAGUGAAAUGCGUAGAUAUGCGGAGGAACACCGAUGGCGAAGGCAAUCCCCUGGACCUGUACUGACGCUCAUGCACGAAAGCGUGGGGAGCAAACAGGAUUAGAAACCCGUGUAGUCCC
rnacentral:rRNA from 1 species